rnacentral:tRNA from 1 species
GGGGGUGUAGCUCUGUGGUAGAGCAUUUAGUUAACAUGGACUAUGGACAAAGUCCAGGGUUCCAUCAUCCCAGCACCACCA